ACACGACUACAUUAGAUACCCCUGUAGUCCUAGCCGUAAACGAUACUCGCUAGGUGUCGGCCACGGUGCGACCGUUGUCGGUGCCGUAGGGAAGCCGUGAAGCGAGCCACCUGGGAAGUACGGCCGCAAGGCUGAAACUUAAAGGAAUUGGCGGGGGAGCACAACAACGGGUGGAGCUUGCGGUUUAAUUGGACUCAACGCCGGGAAGCUCACCGGAUAAGACAGCGGAAUGAUUGCCGGGCUGAAGACCCUGCAUGACCAGCUG
rnacentral:rRNA from 1 species